rnacentral:rRNA from 1 species
AGGGGAUCGAAAGACCUUAUGCUUUUGGAGCGGCCGAUGUCUGAUUAGCUAGUUGGUAAGGUAAUGGCUUACCAAGGCAACGAUCAGUAGUUGGUCUGAGAGGACGACCAGCCACACUGGGACUGAGACACGGCCCAGACUCCUACGGGAGGCAGCAGUGGGGAAUUUUGGACAAUGGGCGCAAGCCUGAUCCAGCAAUGCCGCGUGAGUGAAGAAGGCCUUCGGGUUGUAAAGCUCUUUCAGUUGAGAAGAAAAGAUUGUAACUAAUAAUUGCAAUCCAUGACGGUAUCGACAGAAGAAGCACCGGCUAACUACGUGCCAGCAGCCGCGGUAAUACGUAGGGUGCGAGCGUUAAUCGGAAUUACUGGGCGUAAAGGGUGCGCAGGCGGUUCUGUAAGUCAGAUGUGAAAUCCCCGGGCUUAACCUGGGAACUGCGUUUGAAACUACA